rnacentral:rRNA from 1 species
GAUGAACGCUGGCGGCGUGCCUAAUACAUGCAAGUCGAGCGAACAGACGAGGAGCUUGCUCCUCUGACGUUAGCGGCGGACGGGUGAGUAACACGUGGAUAACCUACCUAUAAGACUGGGAUAACUUCGGGAAACCGGAGCUAAUACCGGAUAAUAUAUUGAACCGCAUGGUUCAAUAGUGAAAGGCGGUUUUGCUGUCACUUAUAGAUGGAUCCGCGCCGCAUUAGCUAGUUGGUAAGGUAACGGCUUACCAAGGCAACGAUGCGUAGCCGACCUGAGAGGGUGAUCGGCCACACUGGAACUGAGACACGGUCCAGACUCCUACGGGAGGCAGCAGUAGGGAAUCUUCCGCAAUGGGCGAAAGCCUGACGGAGCAACGCCGCGUGAGUGAUGAAGGUCUUAGGAUCGUAAAACUCUGUUAUUAGGGAAGAACAAAUGUGUAAGUAACUAUGCACGUCUUGACGGUACCUAAUCAGAAAGCCACGGCUAACUACGU